rnacentral:rRNA from 1 species
UACGGGGGGAGCAAGCGUUGUUCGGAUUUACUGGGCGUAAAGGGCGCGUAGGCGGUCGUGACAAGUCACUUGUGAAAUCUCCGGGCUUAACUCGGAACGGUCAAGUGAUACUGUCGGACUAGAGUACAGAAGGGGCAACUGGAAUUCUCGGUGUAGCGGUGAAAUGCGUAGAUAUCGGGAGGAACGCCAGUGGCGAAGGCGGCUACCUGGCCCACUCUUGACGCUGAGGCGCGAAAGCUAGGGGAGCAAACGGG